rnacentral:rRNA from 1 species
GUUAGAUCAUGGCUCAGGAUGAACCCUAGCUACAGGCUUAACACAUGCAAGUCGAGGGGCAGCAUCAUCAAAGCUUGCUUUGAUGGAUGGCGACCGGCGCACGGGUGAGUAACACGUAUCCAACCUGCCGACAACACUGGGAUAGCCUUUCGAAAGAAAGAUUAAUACCGGAUGGCAUAGUUUUCCCGCAUGGGAUAAUUAUUAAAGAAUUUCGGUUGUCGAUGGGGAUGCGUUCCAUUAGGCAGUUGGCGGGGUAACGGCCCACCAAACCUACGAUGGAUAGGGGUUCUGAGAGGAAGGUCCCCCCCAUUGGAACUGAGACACGGUCCAAACUCCUACGGGAGGCAGCAGUGAGGAAUAUUGGUCAAUGGACGAGAGUCUGAACCAGCCAAGUAGCGUGAAGGAUGACUGCCCUAUGGGUUGUAAACUUCUUUUAUACGGGAAUAAAGUUAGCCACGUGUGGUUUUUUGUAUGUACCGUAUGAAUAAGGAUCGGCUAACUCCGUGCCAGCAGCCGCGGUAAUACGGAGGAUCCGAGCGUUAUCCGGAUUUAUUGGGUUUAAAGGGAGCGUAGGCGGGUUGUUAAAUACAGUUGUGAAAGUUUGCGGCUCAACCGUAAAAUUGCAGUUGAUACUGGC